ensembl:misc_RNA Gm27403 predicted gene, 27403
ACAGCUUUGAACAAAAGUCCACAGCCAGUGUGUUCCAAGUCCCUGCUCAGGGCUGACUGUGGCAGGGGACACUCUCCUGCUGGCUCUCUCUGUCCACACUUAGCUGGCUCCUGUCCUCAGGUGCAUGGCCACACCCUCGCACCCAACCUUGAUCCUCUGAUGGGGAAGGUCCCAGGACUUGUCUGCUGGGACAGGCCUCACCCCCAAGAGCUCU